rnacentral:rRNA from 1 species
AUUGAACGCUGGCGGCAGGCCUAACACAUGCAAGUCGAACGAGUGGCGGACGGGUGAGUAAUGUCUGGGAAACUGCCCGAUGGAGGGGGAUAACUACUGGAAACGGUAGCUAUUACCGCAUACCAUCGGAUGUGCCCAGAUGGGAUUAGCUAGUAGGUGGGGUAACGGCUCACCGAGGCGACGAUCCCUAGCUGGUCUGAGAGGAUGACGAGCCACACUGGAACUGAGACAGGGUCGAGACCCCUACGGGAGGAAGCAGGGGGGAAUAUUGCACAAUGGGCGCAAGCCUGAUGCAGCCAGGCCGGGUGUAUGAAGAAGGCCGUCGGGUUGUAAAGUACUUUCAGCGAGGAGGCGUUACUCACAGAAGAAGCACCGGCUAACUCCGUGCCAGCGGCCGGGGUAAUA